AUGCAGAUUCACCAUUUUCCACUGCCACUGAAAUUUUUAUUCUCAGCCAUGACCAUGAUUCUGACAAGGUAUUCUAACUUAUUGGCAAAUUUAGUUUUCAUUGUGUUUGAUUUUGUACAUCUCAUGGGGUUUGAGUUUGAGAUCAAAAAGCUUAAUCCAAACUUUACAAAUCUUUCACUAACCGCCACUCUGGUUUUCGACCCUGGACCACACCAUUUGACAUCCAACAACUUUAUCAUUAUAUUUGUGGAAAUUUGUGUUUAUAUGUUGAUAUCUUUGCAAUUUUGGGUGUCAUUGUGA